GACGAACGCUGGCGGCGUGCCUAAUACAUGCAAGUCGAGCGCAGGAAACUGACGGAACUCUUCGGAGGGAAGGCAGUGGAAUGAGCGGCGGACGGGUGAGUAACACGUAAGGAACCUGCCUCAAGGAUUGGGAUAACUCCGAGAAAUCGGAGCUAAUACCGGAUAGUUCAACGGACCGCAUGGUCCGCUGAUGAAAGGCGCUCCGGCGUCACCUUGAGAUGGCCUUGCGGUGCAUUAGCUAGUUGGGGGGGUAACGGCCCACCAAGGCGACGAUGCAAACGCAACAUGAGAGGGGGAGCGGCCACACUGGGACUGAGACACGGCCCAGACUCCUACGGGAGGCAGCAGUAGGGAAUCUUCCACAAUGGACGAAAGUCUGAUGGAGCAACGCCGCGUGAGUGAUGAAGGUUUUCGGAUCGUAAAACUCUGUUGUAAGGGAAGAACACGUACGAGAGGGAAUGCUCGUACCUUGACGGUACCUUGCGAGAAAGCCACGGCUAACUACGUGCCAGCCGCCGCAGUAACAC
rnacentral:rRNA from 1 species